AAAGCGCGAUAGGUAAUGCGAAUUGCAGAAUUCAGUGAAUCAUCAAAUCUUUGAACGCAACUUGCGCUCUUGGGUAGCCCCAUGAGCAUGCUUUGUUGAGUGUCGUCUUCACAACACAUCGUCUGCGUUCUGAUUUUUUUCAGAAACGUUUUGACGGAUACUGAGUGUCUCGUGAAUUCGAAAUCGAGUCAUUUCAAAUCGAUGGCAUAAAUUCAAGCACCCGCCAUAGUUGAAUGAAUCUUUCAACUAGUCUGAUAAUAGACUUUUUGUCUAACUUUUAUAUCGACUAGGAGUUCAUUCAAUUGGGAGCAUGAUUUAUGCUUUCAAGGAAAAAACAAGAAAUAAUUUCGGUUAUUUCUCUGAAACUUGACCUCAACUAAAGCAAGAGAACCCGCCGAAU
rnacentral:misc_RNA from 1 species